rnacentral:lncRNA from 1 species
AAAAACAAGCUCUACAGCCAUAAGAAGUUCGACAAGGUGGUGGACACACUUGGCCAGCAUAUGGGACAAAGACCUCCUGUCCCUGAGCCUUCCCAACAGGACUCCACAUCCACGGACCCCAAAGGUUUGGCCCAACUUUGAUCUCGUCCUCACUAAACUACAGACCUGGACCUGGGAAGGCAGAGACAGCUUUGGCUGCUAAGGCAGUCCUAGAGAAGAUCUGCGCUCUUCAGUAACCAUGUCCAUGUGACUGGGAAACAGAAACCUGUGCAAGAGGACAGGCGUCUUGCUUUAGCCCAAGCUUACAUUCUUCCUCUCCCUAAGGCCUCUGGGGAGAAGUGGGUUCCCUGCCAUCUCCUUUCCCAACAGAACUCCUCAUAGGACCUUUCCCUGCUCACCUCUUGUACUCUCAUACAGUAUUCAGGGACCCCAAGUUAGGGGCUAUGCCCUCCUGUUGUAUAAUUUCAAGCCCCCCUUUAGAAGUUGCAGCAUGCUGAGUUCAAUAAACCAGUGAUGAGC